GACCGCGUAGCUCAGUUGGCAGAGCAUUGGGCUAGUAUUCCAAAGGUUGUAGGUUCGAUUCCCACCGUGGCCA
rnacentral:tRNA from 1 species